rnacentral:lncRNA from 1 species
AAGGGGCUGUGAGGCUAAGCCCUGUGUUCCCACCUCGAGUCUUGAAAACCUUAGCUUAUUUGGAAUUCCCUUCAUCCUAGAAUUUUGAAGUGGUCAGGGAACUCAGAAAAAGGGUUUAUUCUUUAGCAAAUAUCACUGGAAACCAAGAAAUGCUAGCACUGGGAACUAUGUCUAGUCACUUAUGAUGGAGCGUGAUCAUGUGAGAAAAAAGAAUGUAUACAUGUAUGUGUAACUGGGUCACCAUUCUGUACAGCAGAAAAAAAAAUGUAUUGAGGAAAUAAAAUUAAAAAUAAUAAAAUUUUUAAAUGCAAAAAAAAAAGAAAGAAAAAGAAACCAAGAAAGAGCAAAUGAAGACACCCCAACAUUUUCCUAAGGGUGACACUUCCAAUGAGGGUGGUAUAACCAUGGCCACUGAGAAGCACGAGUGUGGCCCAUGGCUAGGAAGGAGGCUCAAGCUGGGGGUGGCAUCCUGCCCUGCCUGCUGUGUCCCGGGCUCCCCAUGUGGUUCUCAAGGCCCAGAAGUGGCGGGGCAGCAGGUUUUAUAGAGUUGUAACAGACACUCGUCAGAAAAAUUAACGUAAUGUGGCAUUCAAGACACUUUUUUCAGUCUUAUCUCUGUUCCCAACUUCUAUCUCUGGGACACAGAUGCUCACAGCAAUUGGCAUCACCAAGAGCCCACACAAUUCUCAACCUGUGUGUCUUUGUACUUCUGUUUAACUUGGCCUGGAAUGUUUCUCUAUCUUCACUAGCCAGCAAAACUGCAAACAGACUUGAAAGCCCAGUGGAGACAACUUCUCCAAUAAGCCUGCCUUCUAUGAGCUUCCCAGACCAAAGAAAUUGGUCUUUCUUUUUUGCUUCUAAAACUUUGGUCAUAUCUCGGCUUCAGAUGUUAGGACACUAGGGUAACUACUUUGGGUGUGCACAUAUGUCCGUUUAACGUCUGAGAUCCCCUGGGAGGAGGCACCGUCUUGCCCAGGCUUCCAGAAUACUCUCGAUUUUAGAGUCAAUGCUCUGAAACAUUAAUGAGUUGACUGUAUGCCUGUGAGUACUGUGAGGAGACUGCCAUUUUCAGGAAGAUAAACUUUAAAACUAUGAGAAAUUUUCUUUUCCCCUUCUGGUUUGGCAAAGAACUUUUAUUCUCUAAUGAAAAGCUUUAAUUGGAACCUUGACUCUGUAUUUGGAGGUAAUAGGCCUUACUAAAAAUGGAUUAGAGCAGUCCAUAAACUCUUUCCCUAAAUGUUAACAUAUUACAGGGCUUACAAAGGUUACUUAGCUUGGCAAGAAAAUGCACAUUAAAGAUCGAAAUAACAAUUUCCUGGAUUCCUGCAUAGGUUUCUAACUUGUCCCAGUAUCCUUGGGCCAUGAGUAAACAGCUGUGACUUAAUCAGUAACUGCUGUAAAUCGACAGACAUCCCAAGCUCUUUGCAGUUCUCUUGCAAGGAUGAUGAAGGAAGAAAUGGGACAGAGUAGACAUGAAGGAAUAAUAACUGAUAGCAGCCAACUUUUAGAGCCAGCCUCUUGUCUAAAUACUUUGCCCAAGCCAUCCUCACAGCCUCUCUGGGCAAGGUUCUGCCACGAUUCCCACAUGGAAGAUGACUCACCUGAGAUACAGAGUGCUUGGAUGUAUUUCCCCAGAUAGUAUAGCGAGACCCUCGUUGAUUGCAUUUGAUUUUGCAGCUCAGGUUCCUAACCACUCUGCUAUGCUUUCUGCUUAUUCUCCUCUUGAGGUUCAAGUUCUGAGGCCGGUAGAGAGAGACAUGCUCUGACAGUUCAGACCUCCUGUUCUUCACUCCAGGGCGGGGUCACUGUACCUCCCGUGCAGCAAAACUAGGCUCCAGAAUAGUCCUGGGAUGGGGUCUGAAUCUAGCUCUGUGAGGAGCAGGUGCCUUUGGGCAUAUUGUUUGAGCCUUUAACACGUUGACUUCCUCAUCUGUAAAGUGGGAUUGUUUUGAGAUGCUUCAUGUACAAGAGGUCAGCACAGUGAAGAGAUGGAAAAUAAGGGGGAGGAAGAACAAGGAGGGAAGCUGUGGUGGUAGGUCUGCUAAGGUAGGGGGCAGAUCCCGUCUGUCUUUUUAAAACUACUCCCAUUUCUAUGGAUUUAAGAAAGUCCUGAAAAAUUUUCCGGAAAGGCCCUCAUGAGUGAGCACUGAGGAAAUAGGUAUCUAUUUGUUCCGUUGCACCUUUCUCUUCUUGGACCUGGUACCCAGUUCUUCUCUUUUAUCUGCUCCCUUCCCUGCCCAUCCAUCCCUGCCCCCUGGAUUCUGGAUUGGCCACUUAGCUGUAAGGACAGGCCCCUCCGUUUUUGUACAGUCCCCAGCUUGGAUUCAGGCACUCAGCUUUGCACAAACAUAGCAUCCUCACCUGCAGCCUUGGUGAGCGAUAUCCCCCCAGCCCAUGUCCACUGAGCGGCAGAACUAACUGGAGCCACCCACCUGAGAACAUCCUUCUGGCUAUGGGAGAUUAGGGUCAAAACAAGUGGGGGGGGUCUGCCUUCAUUCAGAUGGGACCAGCGAAGCUAGGCUCACCUCCUAGCAAAAUCACUAAGCCUGUUUCCCAUGAGUGAGAAGGAAUAGGAGGCUAUUUCAUUGAGCUAUCAUGUUGACCUUAAAACAAGAUGGAGAAAUUUCUGGAUUUUAGGAGAAAGUCUCAAUGUUAAUGACAUGCCAACAUCUCAGUGGCCUGGAGUUUCAGCAGUAGGCAUGGCCCUUUGGUUUAGCUCUCCACAGCUCUGCCACUUUCUCGGCCUGAGCCAAGGUGACUGAAUUCCUCACAUAACCAUAACACUCAUUCAUCAUGUGUGUUUAUAGUCACUGACACACUUCAAGGCCAUUGACAAAAAGCAGCCUGCUGAUGGCCAAGGGUCUCAUUGGUUAUGCAGUGGGAAGGGACAUUGGCCAAGCCUCAAGAUCUGGGUAAUAUAUGGCUUAUCUCAGGAACGUCUGACUUUGAAAAAUAUACACAGAGUGACCCACAAUGGACCCUUAAAACUCUAUUUGCUGGCCUUACGCAUUCUCUGCCUCAUUAAAAAUAUUGGUUGUUUAAAAUUGCUGGGGGAUAAUUAAACAGGCCUGUGGUUGAUUUAUGGGAGACAAACAGAGCUAUGAAUGCACAGAGAUAUUGUGAGGGGGAGAUAAUUUAUGACGAUAAAGCUAAAUGUUGAUGGGAGAAGCCCAACUCAAGGUUGGCUAUAAGAAGUGAUAUAUUUCAAGAGCCCUCUAAAUCCAUGGAGGCCAGAAGCAUCCAGAUGAGUAUUAUAUCUUGACAUCCUGGCCUGCUUUUUAAGUUUAAUAGUUUUUUAAUGCUAUCUCAAGACCUGAAAAACAGAAUGAAAGACUGCACUCACACGACAUGUAACCACAGAGGCUAAACUAUGUUUGGAAUUUGAAGUGGAAUCAAAGGGAAUGGCUGUGAUAAUGGGUCUGCUGAGUGGCCUUCCCAGUUCAAUAGCCAGUGUUUCCUAGUUGUGUGGUUAGUACUCACCAUCAGGCUUUUUUACAGCAAGUUAUAAAGUGGAGGGUAUGGGUGCAGCUUCCGUCUGGGCCUUCAGCCUGGACGUUCUUUGGGGGUGAGUGGGGCAGGUUUCCUUUCCCUCUCUUCUUGGUGAGGCUCACAGUAUAGAGAACAAAAUAGACAAUGCAUGGAGGCUGACUUCUGUGGGGGAGACUGUCUUGGAAGGCAGAGGAUGUCUGAGACUUUGAAACAGUUGAGCUUCCCAGCCUGGCUGAGCUCACUGCUGGCCUGGCAGCAGCCUCAGUCAGCAGGUGGGCAUCCUGAUGGGGCCUCGUAUCCCUGUAUCUCCUGACUGUGCGGCAGCUUCCAACAAUGGCACCUGGGCUGUACAGUUUGUCCUUCCCUCUCCGUCUUGUAACUCCGGUCCCUCCGUGGUCAAUCAGGGACACCUGCUUUUGUUCGCAUUGAAGCGCUUACUCUCCUCUGCCUCAGGUAACAGCUCCUUCAUCCUGAGAGCUGGUCCCAGGGAGGCCAGUGUGGGUCAGGUCUCACCUGGACACAUCAGUGCAUUUACCUUCUUUCUCGUUUCAUCUCUACCUCCCCUUCUGUGUGCUUGCCACCUCAGAAAUCCCACCCUUUUCUGAAUUUACCCACGUUUGGUUUCUGUGUCUUUUCAGACGUCACUCUCUUCACCCAUUGGGAAAGGCUUUCCUGUUGUUCCCAUGUCCUGCUUAAUUAAAACGUCACCUCCAGCACUAAGCUCUCCCUGUUUCCUUCUGUCAGAAACCACCUCAGAAUCUGAAUAACAUCUCUGCUCCAAACCCCAAAGCUCUCCACAAAUCACCAGUAAGGACCUCUUUGUUCUAACAAAGGGAACAUUUUGCCAACCUGGUUUGAGUUACCGUGUGAACUUGGAUAUACUUAAAAUGCUUAAAAUACUCUUUAACGCAGAAUUUAUGUUGAUUUAAACUGUCCUUGUCUUCAAUUUGUCUGAAAUGGUAAAUUUAUUGUAUGGAAAAGUCAAAAUCAGUGACUAUAUUUUGUUCCCCUUCAAAUAAACUCAGAUCUUAAGAAAUAGCAAAUGAUUACUUUAUUCCAUUUAAAUGUCCCUGAGACUUAAAAAGGCAAUCACAUACUUGAGGUUUUAAUGUUCCUGUCAUAUUUAUCAGGAAUUUUAACAUAAGCCCAUUAAAAAAGUAGAACUUGAUGUUUAGAUUGGAAGUGAAAUCACCUCCUCUUCUGGGAACCACCAAGGCAGCUCCCCGUUGCCUUCACUGGUGCCUUGAGCUUUUACAAGCUGAACUGGGAAAAGUUGGUUUCCUUUUUGCAUAAGUAGGAAGGUUGUACUCCCGUACGUGUGACCCUGAGACUGGCCUCUGCAUUUACUCUAAUCUGAUAAAAAUGUCAUUUUUCUCCCUAUGUAAGUUGAAAUAUUUCGACAAUCAGUGGCAACACAAUUAUAAGCUAGAAUGUUAAGUGAAGUUAGUAUUAUCAGUAAAUAAAAUCAGGUUGUGGAUUCAGGGGAAAGUAACCUUUGAGAAUUUUAGUGAAGCUGAAGCUCUGAGUUGAGGUUAUUGCUGCAUGGCCUCAACUGAACCUGGAGAUGGACAAAUAUUGGGCCUGUGUGUGGGGAAGGGUGCUGUGGAGGAUGGGGAGGAAUUUGUGGGUACUAAGACCUAAAAAUGAAAACAAACCACAUUGUCAUCUGAAAGAAGAUAGAUGAAACUUGUUGAAACAACAGGCCUCUGGGGACUAAUUACUUGUCUGCUAUAAUUCAGGUUCUUCACCAGUGACUUACAUUGACUCAACAUGUCAACUGUCGGUUCUGUGUUAUGAAAUAAAAUACAUGUUCUCUUAAUGUAAGCAAUCCAGAAAUGUUCUCAAGUGUCCCAAGUCGUUAGUCACACUGGACACAUUCAGUGCCCUAUGACUCGUCCCCACGGCUCUAGGCCCAGAGGUCACUUGCAGAAAAAGGAAGUGUAGAGGAGGGAUUAAAUGGUGCAGCCACAUCCUUGAACUCCAGGUAUUACCUUGUUUACCUGAGGGCUGAGGAGCAUCCAAACAGACACUCAGGGAAACUCAGCCUUUAAUAGCUUAUGGUGUUGCACAUUCCGUAUACAAGAGUAAUCUCAAAUAAAAGUCCCCCAAACUUAGCUGUCUGCAUUCUGCUUUGGUUUCAUGUCAGUUGUUGCAGGAGAUUGGAGGGAGGCUGCUGGCCAGCUGGUACCCUGGUAGGGUUACCUAAAACCUCUUCCCUGCCUUGCAGAUCCAGGUGAGCUCCUUGGGAGGGAAGUACAGGGGAAAUGGGGUGGAGGGGUGGGUCACAUGGCUCUGGUAGAGGGAAUGAGAUGUGAUUACAGAAAUGCCCCGUAACCACUUCAGUCUCCGCUCUCUCUGCUCUGCAUCCCUUUAGAGAUAAUUCAAGUCAUUUCAGGCACAUUCCUACUGGUACCCAAAAGGCAGUGGGACUCUCCUGGACCCGGCAAGCACUGCCCACAAGGACCAGAAAGGCAGCUCUCUGCAGAUCACAAUCAAGUUAGGGUUAGGGUUAGGGUUAGCUGCCAAUGCCAAGGCACCAGCCAAGGCUUUCCUAUCACCAAAAUGGGCUUCAGCAGACUCCCGAGAAACCACAGGCUUGUUGAAUAGCAGGAUAAUGUGAUCACAUGAAAGCCAAUGCGGCAAAGUGGAAAACCUCUUUUCAACUGAUCAUAUCAGGUGAAAAAACAAAGGGCAAAAUUAUACCCCUUACUAAGACCACCAGCGACAAUUAAGGAUGCAUGUGGGAGUUCUCAUCAUGGCUCAGUGGAAAUGAAUCUGACUAGCAUCCAUGAGGAUGCAGGUUUGAUCCCUGACCUUGCUCAGUGGGUUGGGGAUCCAAUAUUGCUGUGGUGUAGGCCAGCCGCUACAGCUCCAAUUCAGCCCCUAGCCUGGGAACCUCCAUAUGCCUUGGGUGUGGCCCU